UUUUUUAAAUGCUUUGAAGGUUUAUUAGAAAAAAAGGGGAAAAAAAAAUCUUCUGAGUUUCACCUUAGGGGUGAGAAAUGAGAUAGUGAAAAAAGAUGUGGAUGGAAAUGGAAUUUUGGAGUAAAGGGAGGGAAAAAAAAGAGAAAAAGACNAAAAGACCUAGUUCUCGAUCUGUUAAAUGAAAUCAGCUUUUUCAACAUAGAACCAUUUUCG
rnacentral:misc_RNA from 1 species